UAGUGACGUGUGACCAAGUGUAACCACUGAUUUAAAGGUGCACACACUGCCACCUGCUGGAGCACCAGGUUACAUCCUACAGGAUAUCUGCACUGCAUACUGAGCUACAUUCCUGAACCAAUCAAAAACCAGCUCUUGGAAAAACCAAGCGAAACCGAGGUUCCCGGCCUCCAGCUCAGCCACAGCCAGCUGCAGAGACGUGACAGCACUGGACACCUGAGAGACAGCAACAAUCAAAGCUGUGCCAGUGAGGUGAUGGUGGUGGUUGCUGUUGCAACAUUUUCGACACUUCGACUCCACAUGAGCCGAUCCAGCUCCCAGUCUGCUAGUCCUGCACUGCCAGCCUGUGCCACCAGGAAGCCAGGAGGAGGAGA